rnacentral:tRNA from 1 species
UCCCUGGUGGUCUAGUGGCUAGGAUUCGGCGCUCUCACGCCGCGGCCCGGGUUCGAUUCCCGGUCAGGGAA